CGAGUUUCCCCCACUAGGUUAAUAGAAUUCCACCCAGAGGCAGACAGUUAGCAAACCACCUUCUCGGGCUGUGGCUGGGAAUCGCGCUACACUUGACAGCCCUUUCCAUGGGCCUCCCCGGCCCGCCUGCCCUCGGCCCCGAAGUCAGGGGAGACAGGGGCCAUUUCAGCUGCUCGCGCUCGCUUGCCUUCCCGUCCCUGCCGGAGUCAGCAGACCCUGACUUCUGGAGAAGCGUUGCUGCGAUGUGUCAGCUGCUCGGGGAGAGGCUGGAGUGAUGGAUUCCAAGAGCUGUCAGGAGAAAGGGUUUACGACUAUGAGCAAUCUGAUGCUAGUCCCGAUGUCUUGGUUAUCUCUUGUGUAUCCAGCACCCAAGGGAAGGAGCAUCCCAUGGCUACAACUCUCAAGCAUCGAAAUGGAACCUGUGAGAGUUCUUCACCCCACAGGGAACUCCUUCCACCAAACUUAGGGGAGCGAGAAAGGGGUUGUAAGGACUUGCCUUUGUAUCUCCCCAGCCCCUGCACAGGGCUGGAUUUGCAUAUGUUAAUAUGGAGAACUGCAACUAUUUAAUGAGAAGCAGUGGGCCACGUGGGUGAGCAGAAUUCCUUAGAGUAUUUUUUUCAGAUGUCUUAAUUCACUCUCUCUUUGUUGUAUUUCAGCAGAUCCAGGUAUUUGCACUGAGUUGGUCCUGGUCCCCACUCCUGUCCCCCAAAUCUCUGAAACCACAGAUCUCAUUAGAUGCCAGGCUCAGCCUUGUGUUUGGAGGGUGAUGGUGGGCGGAGUGCUCUGCCUACCUGGAAGCAAUGCCAGGAUGGCUGGAGGUAGCCUACUCCAGGCCAAGGAGCCCCAGCCCAGAGGUUGGGCGGGGACGUGCCUGAGGGGGGUGGGGAGGAAAGGAUAGAAUUCCAAAGAGGAGAACCCUAGAUGGAGAGAGCCCUCUGGGCUUUCAGCCCUUCAUCUGGGUUCCACUAAAAACACAUUUUGCGUGUUUCUGUUGUUCUUAAGUCUGGGUUUAUUUCAAGGGGAAAGUUAUAAAGAGACAUCUCUCCCUUUAUUUCAACAGCAGCUUGUGCUUGGGUAGAUUCUCAUUUGUCUUGUCUGUCCUGCCUGGAGGUAAAAGGAGUAGGUUGGGGUGGGGGUCCCAAGAGGCCCCAGGAGACCAAGGCCUCAGGCUGUGCUUGCCUCCAGUGUGUUAGACCAGUAGGUCUGUCACAGGUUCUGACCUUCCAGCUGAUAGCAACACACACCGCCAGAUGAGAGACUUGGGGGGUUGAGAAUGAAAGGAAGGGACUUGGGGAAGCACAGAACAAGGAGAGGCCUGGUGAGGUGGCCCCACCUGGGAAACAUCCACAGACAGACAGGCAAGUGACCAUCCCCAUGGCUGUUUGAGAGCCUUCCUCUCUGAACCCAGGGCAGCAUCUGUCAGGUAGCCACCCAAGUGAGGCAGGGUUUUGCCCAGGUCGGAAGCCAGAGGUAGCAUCCAGUCUCCCUAAGAAUUCAGGUCCCAAUCCAGUCUGAGAAUCCCGAAGAGGACCCAGAGCCCUUGAAUCAGUCCAUACCUCAGAGACACAAAGAAGAAAUGUCAGCGCUUGAAAGGCCCUUAGCCGUGUAACCCACUGCCCUCAUUUCACAGAUGAGGAAACAGGCCCAGGGAGGGAAAGCUCCUUGCCUAGGGCACACAGUGGGUCAGCGAUGGGCUGGUCCUGCAGCCCGGGCCUCAGUGUUCUCUGCACUUUUCUACUUUUCCACCCUGCUGCUUACAAGGUUCAUCCUCCCAGUAGCGCCAUGAAGUGUGUAUAAUUGUCCCCAUUUUACAAAGGAGGACACUGAGGCUUGGAGGAGGUAAGUGAUUUGCUCCAUGUCACUGUCUGGUAUUUGAUGACUAUAAUUCCCAAACUACUCCCAACUGAAUCAGACUCCCACGGGGAGGCGGGUGCACCAGGCGAGGGUUACAGAUGGAGGUCGACUGCCUCUGCCACAGGAGAGUUGGCAAGUUGGGGGUUUGGAUGGAUAAGCAGCUCUCUCCCAUCUCCCAGACAGUGGAGCACAGUUGAGCUCUGGAAGCAGCACAGUGAUGCGUGGUGAGCCUCAGCCGGCGCAAAUGCAAGCUGGAGGGUCCUGGGUUCAGUGGCUAUGUCACAGCCUCAUCACAGACCUGAAAAUGGUGGGCAUGAGAGGCAGACGUGUAAUUUCCUCUUUACUACCGCCAGUCAUGUGAUUACAGCCGAGCUCAGGAGGGCCGGGUGAGCAUUGCAGAAAGGCUGUAGCUAGAUAGGAUCCCUAGAGCCAGAGCAGGGUUGGGGAGUGCAACUCUAGGAAAAGCUUCAUUUUCCACACCCACUCCACUCCCAAACAUAAGCUGAAGGUCCCAGUGAACUCCGUUAAAGAAGAAUGAAAAGUCUGAUGCAGCUAUUUAAAAACAGGCAGGCGUCAAGUGGCCAAUGGCAGUCGAGUGCAGCCGGGGCAGCGCUCGGGAAAAUCAUCCACCACCGUCAGCCCUGGAGAGGCAGACCUGGGGUUCCCCGCAGAAGCGGGUGCGGGUCCAUGUAGGCUACCCCGUCAUCUUUGUGCCACGGAGCUAGUUCAUCACGGGGCCUUGCUGAUUCCUUCCCCAGCACGCCUCAACAAUCCCGCUGCUCUCCUGAGACCCAAGCCCUUUCACUCUUUGCUUAGAAGUCCAGCUUUGUUUCCAAACUGUUUUCCCUUUCUCUUCUCCCUACAGCCUCCCUUGACAGGGCAGCUUUAGUGUCCGUGCUUCCCAGAACCAGUGCUGCAUGCUCACCUGCUGGACUCCCCCAGGAUGUAUAGACAUCUCAUAAGAGUGGGGGCUGCCUCUGGGAAGGGACUGGAAAAAGGCUAAGGGGAAGGAGCUCGGGGGCUGGCAAGCCCGGAUGCGACAAAGCACCGAGGUGGGCUUGAAUGUGAGUGGCUGUGGUGGGUAGACAGGUGGGCUACUGUGCACGGGAAGUUUAGGUGAGGGAGGAUGUUAAGACUCUCCUGGGCUGGGUGCGGUGGCUUCACGCCUGCAAUCCCAGCUCUUUGGGAGUCCAAGGCAGGCAGAUCACUUGAGCCCAGGAGUUUGAGACCAGCCCAGGCAACAUGGUGAAACCUGUCUCUACAAAAAAAGUACAAAAAAUUAACUGGGCAUGGUGGUGCCUGCCUGUAGUCCCAGCCACUUGGGGUGGGUGGGUGGGGUGCUGAGGUGGGAGGAUUGCUUGAGCCCAGGAGGUCAAGUCUGCAGGGAGUGGAGAUCACACCACAGCACUCCAGCCUGGGCAACAGAGUGAGACCCUGUCUGUGAGGCUCGGACUUAAUCCCGCUGAAUCCUCAGUGCGGUCCUCUAAAGCCAUGGAAUUGAGAGAGGUAAAGUAACAAGCCCACGGUCACAAACCUAGUAACAGUGCGAAGAUUCCAACCCAGGCCUCUGAUGCCAUGUGGUGUUUUCGCAAGAGCAUCUUUUGACUUUGCUAAUUUCUGGACAUCAUGUGGAGCCUUCUAUGAAAGAGUCAAAUAUUUGGGAAGGCAAACAUCAAAGGGAGUUAGUGCAGGUAUUUUAUGUAAGCGGAUCGCCCUGCGGUGGUGUCUGAUUUUCCUGCCAGCCCUGCCCUCUCCCAGGACACACGUUCUCUGCCAUGCAUUCGCUUCUGUCAGUGCUCUCUGGAACUGCAUUUUCCAGGACUCCGUUACUCCCCAAGCAUACAAAUGCCUCUCCUUCAUUUUUUUCCCAUUAAGCAGAUUUAAAGAAUGAACUCAGAAUCUUGGCCACCAUUAAUUUCACAGCUUACAAUUAUUUGCAUCUCCCCCGCUUUUUUUUUGUUUUUUUUUUUCUUUGCUUGAGUCAUUUUAAAAAGCCCUUAUGAUUUCCUUUAAUCCUUUUGGUAGAGCAAUUCCAUUCUCUUCUCUCUUAACCUCCUCUCUCCGGAACGCCCCCCCUCCGCCUGAAAGCUUUAAAUAAUGCAGCAAAUUCUUGUUUCGUUUCCUUUUCUCUGUUUCCAGAUGGAUUUUUCUCCCCAGAACAUCCCUGGGAAUCAUUUCUGUCAGAUGCUUCACUGGAUGUCCCUUGGUCUUUACAGCCAUCUAUCCUCCUUCUCCAACCCCCACCUCGAAUUGCAACUUGCUAUUUUAAUUAUAGUUUCUCUUGCCACAC
rnacentral:lncRNA from 10 species